CUGACAUUGUCCUGUUUCUCAACUUGGUUUUCAGCACCCAGCCCAGUAGCAUGGUCAGAGGCUGAAAAAGAAAAUAAUAGUGGUGAUUAAGCUGCUGACCUAGCUAGCUUGGAAGAAGAUGACAGGACAUGGAAAGAAAUCAAGCUGGACUGCCGAAGCAGAAUAAAAAGAAAAAAGAAAGUUUGGGAAGGUAAUCGCUAGGUAGACCAUCGUACGUGUGUAUGUUGU